ACUAUGUAAAAGGGGAUUUUGUGAACAUUCUAUAUGCCAUAUAUCAUAACGAAACUAUACACUAUCGUGCAAUAACAGUAACACAAACUAUUAGACUUUUGUAUAAUAGUUUCUCUCAUUUUUAAAAUCCAAGAUUACUUUGGCUCAGGUAUAGUCAUCUUGGAAGAAAAUAAUUAUUUAAAAUUCCAUUUUAAAGCAUGAACAGUUUUAGAUGUAAAAAAAAAUUACAUAAAAAUCUUGAAAGAUUACUUUUAAUUUCACAUUCCAGGCCAGACUUUAGGAGCCCUUGUAACAUGUAGACAUGAGUCAUUACAAGAUGUAUUAAGUUGUUUGGGACACACCCAAUAGAUGAAGUGGCCCCAACAUGUGUAAGAUGUACCUAGGAAAUUCUCCCUUGAUUAUUCCAUUACCAUUGUGCUUUCUUUAUCGUUCAUUAUUUUUGGAUAAAAGAUUCAAUAUCCAUAGUAAGGAUUCACAUGGUGAAGUAGCCGUUUGUGUCCUUUAAUGAAAACUAAUUUACCAUAGAAUUGGCGUAUAGAUAUCAUUUUUAAAGAAGAGAAGUGUAUCUUUAAAAAAGCAGUGAAUACUUCAGUUAUAACAUCAUUGGUUACUUUGGUCUGUGGAAAAGCAUCGAGCAGAAUUUUUGCUCCUCAGGAAGACUUCACAUACCAGGCAGGCAUUGAGUGUCCAAGUGUUGGCCCUGAGGCACAUCUGGUAGAUUUAGAAAUGUACAAGAAAAUUCCAACCAAAAAGUGUCACGGAGUUGGCCAUAUUUUAACCUUUUAACGAUGCCAGUUAUAACUACAUUUUAUAAUCAAGAUAGUCAUUAGUCGUCACAUAAUUGAGACAAGCCAUUUGCUACGAGAAAACUUUUUUUAGGGCGUUAGCUUGUCCAUCUGUAGACAUUAGAGUUCGACUAAAGAAGGUUCAUUUUCAGCUGAUAAGUCAGCUAACCAUGGUGACCUAUGUGGUUUCCUAGGUUUGUGCUGCCAAACUACAUUCUUAGAAUUGUUUUGCAGAGGUAAAAGCCCAGAAACACUGGAAAUAUGGCAAUUAUUCAUCCUCAUUUCAACAUACUCUGUGUUCAAGUUCCCUCGGAUCAGAAAAAGCCAAGCUAUAAUCACACAUUCACUGGGGUAAAAGUUUACGAGGCAGUGUUCUACCCUCAGACAUUCUUGUUUUCCUUGUAAUAUAGGGUCAUUUGUAUAAAUACAGUAUGCCAACAAAAUCUGGUUUUCUUCAAUUUGAAAUGAAAUUAGGGCAGUGAUUUCUUUUAAUUCCAUUGCAGAAUCUUUGAGUGUACACUCUAUUAUGUUUUGCUGGGAAAAAUGUGUUUGCUGGAAAAAUAUAUGUUUAGUAGCGCUAUAAUACCAACAAUACCAUCCUCAGAGUCAGUACUUCGGAGGAGAGAAAUGGUGGUGUUGUCCCUGAGAUGGUCAACAAAUGCUCAUGGAGGGGAGGUGAUCCAGGAGAGGAAAAGCUUUCUCCUUGACUCAUAUUCCUCUCCAGCUCUGAGACCUUGCACUUAUUGUUUCUGUCUUGCUUAUCUGUGCCAUAUUUCUCACAUAUCAAACUAAAAGAGAUGACAAUAACAAAACAAACAAAAGAAAUGAGAGUACACAUUCACAAAAUAAACAAUCCGUAUGAAAUAAAGAGAGUUGGAUUUGGUUCUUUAGUCAGUAAUUGUAUAAUGCAUGAGAUGUCACUUUCAGAAUUAAGGUAAAACUUAGAGCAAAGAGAACAAACUGUAGCUUGUUUACUUUUUGAUUUGCUCCUACUGAAUAUUUUUUCUUUUGGGUCAGAAUAUGAGUCUUUUUGUGUUCUUUUGUUCUGAGAAGUGAGGAUGGUAGUGGAUGCACAGCCCAUAUUCCUUGACUUUUUAUGUUGCUCAUGUAUCCGUUAUUACUGUUGGUUUCUUAGUGGAAUUUUUUCUUUCACCCUUACUUUGGCUUUACCUCCAAAUGCCUUCUUCUGUUGGCUGAAAUCUAGCACUGUAAUUUGUGGCUUUCCGGAGAGGGAACCUCCGUGGUCAGGUGGAGGAGGCAGGCCGCAUUCCAGCUCUGGAGUGGUAGGCGUCCCAGACAGAGCGCUGAUUCUGGAAAUUGAGCGUGGUUGUUGCAUUACUUGAGUGAAGAAUGAUAAAAGAAAUGGGUGGUGCAAACACUAAUUUCACUGGAAACCUUUGAGUGAGGGCAUCUAAUGAAUAACAAGUGAAUAUAUGUUAGUAGAUUGAAAAGAAUGGGCCCUACUGUGCAAAGCCUUGGGUAGCAACCUAAGAAGAUGAAGUCACUUGUGACUAUACAGCUAGUGAAGAUUUAGGUCAGGACAGGGACAUGAUUGCUGCUGAGCUUCUGGAAGAUUAUUCUACCAUCAGGGUAUAAGACUAUUUAACGUAUCCGUAAAAGAGAGGAAAUUAUUUAUUUAAACUGAAAAAGUUGAAAACCUUAAAAAUUUCCUUCUAUACUUCUGGUUUCCUCUACACACUGUCUGCAGACAUGAUUCAGGCAAAUGAAUUCCAUUUUAUAGAAUCCUCCCUGUCAGUACCAGGGUGUGGAAAUCUACACGUACAUAUUAUUUAAUUCCUGGGUAACGGAUGAAGCCCCAGGGCAGAAACAGAAAGUUUAAAGGAAUACGAGUAUGGGAAUUGAUGAAAGAAAACAUAGUUUUGGUGAAAAGUAGAGUCAAUGAGGGAAGGUAAGAAGCUUUAAAAACGAUGUAGAAUUAUAAUUGGCACUUGGCAACAAAGAAAACACACUGAAAAAUAAAAUUAUUCUACUAUCUUUUUGUACAUAUGAAGGUAGUUCAUGUACAGGAAGAGGUAACGUGUAAAUUCCUUUACCCUCUAGU